UACGUAGGGUGCGAGCGUUGUCCGGAAUUACUGGGCGUAAAGAGCUCGUAGGUGGUUUGUCGCGUUGUUCGUGAAAACUCACAGCUCAACUGUGGGCGUGCGGGCGAUACGGGCAGACUAGAGUACUGCAGGGGAGACUGGAAUUCCUGGUGUAGCGGUGGAAUGCGCAGAUAUCAGGAGGAACACCGGUGGCGAAGGCGGGUCUCUGGGCCGUAACUGACGCUGAGGAGCGAAAGCAUGGGGAGCGAACAGG
rnacentral:rRNA from 1 species